rnacentral:lncRNA from 1 species
UGAGUCCCAUUACUGAUCAUGAGAGUGAAGAGAUCAAUGUCUGCUCCUCUGCUUCUCCUCACGAGGGUGAUGAAGACUGCCAUGGCCUGCCCUGGAGUAGUGUGACAUGGGUGCACAUCACCUGGAGCUUGGAUAGUUCCCUCUGGGUCCUGGGGACAGCGGGAGGUGGCAGUGCUGUCUUGGAGCUCAGGCUGGUUCCUGCUGGUCUGGAGGAGCUCCCUGGGGCCGGGCCCAGCACAGGCCUCCAUAGCCCUGUGCUGUGCUCCCUCAGGGGUUUCCAGGCAUGGUGAGGCACCCUCAGCCCUGGGAUGGGCAUCAGGCCUGCGGUGCUGUGGGACAGCCCAAAAAUGCCUUCAGCAGCCUCAGUGGUAGCCAAAGGUGGCCCCAGCAUGUGCUGGCUCUGCUUGGCCACAGUGCAGGGAGCACGAAUGGGACAGUCUCCCUCUUGUCCCUGCACUGCAGGGGCCAAAUCUUCAGAACCCCCUGCUCUGACCUGGACCAUUCCCAGGAGGGGAACACAAUGAUCAGCACAAGAUGCUAA